rnacentral:rRNA from 1 species
AUUGAACGCUGGCGGCAUGCUUUACACAUGCAAGUCGAACGGCAGCACGGGGGCAACCCUGGUGGCGAGUGGCGAACGGGUGAGUAACACGUAGGCAACUUACCUUGAGAACGGGAAUAACCCCGGGAAACCGGGGCGUAAUACCCGAUGUUAUUCCGUUGUAGCAUUGCAAUGGAAUAAAAAGACCCGCAAGGCGUCACAAGAUAGGCCUGCGUCCCAUUAGAUAGUUGGCGGGGUAACAGCCCACCAAGUCGACGAUGGGUAGCUGGUCUGAGAGGACGAUCAGCCACACUGGAACUGAGACACGGUCCAGACUUCUAC